CCAAGGUCCUUUGCCUAGUUUUCAAGUCAUUCUCCAAACUGUUUCAACCGCGUAAACUCCCAGCUGUAUUUGGAAGUUUCUGGUGUUUGACCAGGGUUUGUCCCCUCGAAUGGCUGCUGACUGCGUUCUACGAUGCCUUCUCUGCUUGUUGGGGGAGGAUGGCCACAGGAGAAAUUCACACCAGGCCAUGCAGGCAGAGCGAGGCCGCCGUGUCAGCCUCUGGAGGCUGUCUCGGGGUGCCGGUGCGGCAAGUGCCUGGCCCACCCCUGCUCCGGUCCCAAGGGCCCUCUUCUGCAGCUGGUUUAGGUCUGGAGUGCGUGUGAGCAGCUCCAAGGCCCAGGGCCCAAGCUUCCCCUCUGGGUCCUGUGUCUUGGAGGCUGGGGGGCAGUUCUUCCUAAUGGAUUCUCAUUCGUCCCUGCUUGUCCCAUCUCAGUCCACCUUUCCUUCCAAACUGCUGGCCUGAGGAUCGAAAGGGACUUAGGGUCCAAACCAGACAUAGAGUCGCAGCCUUGAGCAAUCUCCCUACCUUGGCCAUGCCGUGGAGGGCCUAGUCCUUUUGUGUAUCUGCUCCUGCCACGGCUAGCAUCCUGCUUCUGUGACCAAACCCUGCCCUCCCGCUCUCACCAUCAGCAGUGGUCCUGGAGGGGCUGGAACGGCAUGUGUUCCCAUGAAGCACAGUCAUGGGGUCAGGCUGUCUGCCACUAAUCGCAGUCCUGGAAAGUAGAGUGCCCAGAGGGGCUCUGAUCCAGGUCAUCACAAGCCCACUGUUUUCCAUUAAUGACCUCGGGGGCGUCUUUGACACCAGCUGUGAGCAUCUGGAAGCCAGGGACUGUCUCCUUUGCCCCCAUCCUGACCCCGGUGCCGCACAGUGCCCAACACAUGGUGGCCGUUAGAUUAACCUUUAAGGCCAUCAGCUUCUCGGCCUCAAUGUCUCCCUCCUGGCCCAAAGCUACUCUGAGGCCUGCGGGAUCCUUUUACCUGCUUGAAAUGAAAGGAAGACCAUCCAUCAUCCGUGGAAGGCUUGUGGGGUGUAAUGAAACACUUAGUGCAAACUGUCCUGAUGAUAACUGGUGCCGCUCAGACAGGAGAGAGUGGGAGUCAUCUAUCCUGUGCAGUAACCAAAACCACAAAAUAUUUAUUGAAAAGUUUUUUAAAGUGUCAUUCUACUUGCAAAUGCUGUGCUGCAGACAUAUGUCAACCGAGUAUGCCUUCGGCACGAAGACGCAAGCGAACAGAGAUAUUUUAAUUUGAGCUACAGUACGCGCCUCGUCUGACAGCUUUAUGCUGAAUCUCACGGCCUCCGUAUGCUGCGGCCGAUGACGAAGCUGUCUCCUUUUAUUCCCAGCACGGAGAGCGGGGUGGUAGGGCAGGGAAGAGGCCACGCAGUGAGCGCCUACUGGGUGCGAGGCACUGAGGUCAGUGAUCGGCUUUGCGUUUUAGCAAAUGCUCCCAGGAACGGUCCGAGAGAGCCUCGUCCCCCACGCGCAUACGGGGAGACAGGCUCAGACGGGAUGAGGAGCCUGUCCACAGCCGCGCAGACGGUAAUUGGCAGAGGCGCGGUUUUAUCUCAGAACCGUGGAAUAAAAAAGCUGUUGUUUGUUUUCCUUAGGCCCAGAGAUAGCAAGGCUGCUCUCAGCAGGCGGACGAGACAGGAGGGCUGCACACUCUCAGCAUCUCUGUUACUGUCCCCGGGUAGCCGUCCCCAAGCCCAGAGGAGAGAACAGGGAAGGGCCCCAAAGCGGCAGGCCGGGGACGUGGAAGGGGUAGUCUCCUCACUCCGGGUUCCAAGGAGGAGGCACGCCGGGUGCAGGCAGGAGCUUGGACGAACAGGGAGGCACUGGACGGGACAGCCAGUGUGGGCAGGGGAGGGCGUCCGCGGGGCUUUGGAGGGUCCCACCGUGCUGGAGGACAGCUCCACGCUCCCUGUCGGGAGGAAGCAAGAGGCGACUGUGUAGCCACCGCAGAGAGCCGGCUUUGCCCUGCCUACAGGCACCCCACGGACACCCGCCUCAGGACACGCGGACCUCAUGGCUGGGGACCUGUUCCACUCCACCCGUGGGUCCCAGUCCCAGUUCUCAUGGUCUACACUGCCAGGGGACACCAGCCACAAACAAGCCACUUCUCUUCUUACCUGCCCCGUACAUGGGAGAGCUUCAAGGCAGCGCAACUAGAAGCCGUCUUCCUGGAGGCUGGGCGCCCCGCGUGGCAAACAGUGAUCCGUCCUGCCAGCGAGCAUCUGUCCGCCGACUGGACGGGUCCCCGUGGAAGUUCGGGGUCCUGGGACACGGCGGCCGCACAGCACCUCCGUGUGGGCUUCUUCGUGGCAAAGACUCUGUCCCGGACCAAACUUUGAACAUUCCUGGAGCCCUCUCUCCACCUGGGCCUCGUCCUUGGACCUGUCCUUGGCCUGCAUAGACCUGCAAGAAUCCUGCUGAGUCGGUUCAGCGGGGGCCACUCCAGCUGUCCGCUCCCCUUCGCCAUCCAAUGGCUCCUCGUCCCCAGGCUUGAUGCCCUUGGUCUGCCCCCAGCAAGAGUCCUGCCAGUCCCCAGCCGUGUUUCCUGUGUUUGGAGUCGGGCUCAGUCCUCCCGGAGCCGCCCUGCCCUGCUGCGGUCGUGCGGAGUGAAGUUGUCUCUUGCAUCCUGAACGAGCUGCUGGGUCUCCUCCCCUCACACCACCUCUGCCCGCAGUCGCCACCUCUGACGCCCCAAAGAUUUCAGAAUGAAUCCUUAGAAGAGAUUAUGGCUGAAUUAGAAUAACUCCCACCCAGACAGCCCCGUGCCGUAUCAGAUCCGCCAUGUUCCGGGCCCGCGUGCGGUGCAUCUAUCCCCCUGAGUGGUGCGCACUGCGAGGCCAUCUGAGGAGAGAGGCGGCCACUGCCAUGACAUCCACGGACGCGAGAACCGAUUCUAUCCUGCGUGGAGCCUCCCGGGCCAUGUCUUCUGCUAAGUGGUGCUGGGUUCACUUAGAGACAACUGGUGAGUUGAGACGAGUCUUCAAACUGUCGAGGUUUUGUCCCUGGGUCUGGUGUGACUCCCCCUACCCUCACCACAUGGGCCCCCGAGAUGUGGUUUAGACUGUGCUCCCUUGCAAGGUCCCCACACCCAGAGGAAGCAUCUUCCGGGCUGUCCAUGGAGAAAUGUGCAUUUUAGAGCAAGAGGGUCGACGGCUAGACGCCUGCAGUCAAAAGCCCAGGGGCGCACGUGGGGACCCACAGAGGUCCCCAGACACCUAGACCUCAGACGACAUCCUGCCUCCUUUCCACCCUGCUUGGCCUCGAUGGAGUGGCUGACCCCCAUGUAGGCCCUCCUUCACCGUGGGGGUCUCUGGGUCUCCACACCUCAAGUGAGCAUAUUAGACGUUUCUUUUCUAAAGAAAAAACAAUAAUACUUAGCUCUCCUAUAGAGCUCUCCAUCUUCAAAGCAGUUUCACACACAGAGCAGUAAAAGCGAAUGCAGACUUGUAAAAGUAACACUGUAAAGAUGCCUGGGAAUUAUGAACGUGCCAUAAGUAAAAUUAAAUUGUGGUGAGAGUAGGAGCAUUAUUUUUAUGCCUAGAAAACCUUACUUACAAAUUAACUGUAGAGAAUCCAGCAACUCAUAUUUUUAAAGUUCGUGUUUUAAAACCGUUAUCAGCCAGGUGCGCAUCCUCGACCGGCCUCUGAGGAGAAAUCAACCGUGUUCUUGUGGCAUGCGCUGGAAUGCAGGGUUCCUGGGCCGGAGCGCCCACCUCCCUUCCGGGGCCCUGAGCCCUGCAGGGUCACGCCUUCCCGCGCCAUGUGUAGGGACGGCCACUCUGCCCAGGCCCCUCCGAGGGCGGCGGGAAGCUGGGCUGGGCCAGAGGUCUGCACUCCAGGGUCUUCGGGCUGUCCUGCAGGAGCCCGGGGGUACCCGGCACGGAAGCGUGUGUCCUGAGUCCCUUCUGUCUCUCGCAGGCCCCGGAGCUGUGAGCGUGCUUGCGGGCAAAGCAGCUCAUCCCCCACCAAUUUCCCCGUUUCUCCCACUUGCUCCUUGUUCGCCCCAGGGCUGCCCUGCCUAACCCGUCCCCUCCGUGGCCUCUGGCCACCAGCUGCAAGUGUCCUUCGGGUAGAUCACAAUCAGCCCCUGGCCGAGGUCCAGGAACCCACCCAGCAGCUUCUCCUCAUGCAGGAAGCACCAGCUUCCUAACCCAGAGCAACCCCCCACCCCCGCGGUCCUGCCUCCACCCAAUCCAGCCCAUCCCUAGAGGGAGGAACACUGGACGGACGCAUUUGCCACCCGUUGCCAAAACAUCCUUCAAAACUUUCAUGGUGUUUAUUACAUUUCAAAAAUGAGUCACCGCAGGUCCCGUGUUAGGGAUUGUCGUGACUGAAUGAGAACGACCGCCAGGCCAGCCGGGCUAUGUGUGGGGCUCACCUCCGGGUCUGGAUCCCCGUGUCCUCCCGCAGCAUCUACACGGGGUCCUGGUGCUCCUCUCCCAGACCUCCGGAGCUGAGGCUGCGCGUCCGACUCUGGGGAAGGUGCCCACCGGGGGCCGAGCCCACGCCCGGGCUCCCGUGUGUCCCGCCCCCGCCCCGCCCUCCCGCGACCUCGGGGGGCCUGUGCAGGGGAGCGGAGGCCGGGCGCGCCAUUGCUUUCACUCGCAACACUUCUGACGUCGGGCACGUGGGGUUUCCCGCACCAACAGCCGCGCCUUCAACUCUGCGGAUGCCGGCGGAGCUCUUACGGUUCAGUUCAGCUCUGACACCGAGGUCGCGACGUUGGUGCGAGACCCUACAGACGUUCGGCCCCACAGGACGGCCCCCACGUGUCUGGGGCGCCCACUCAGCCGCAGAGCUGAGGGUUCCCACUCUCCCCUCCUCAGAUGCCAUCAUCUUCUAGAACAUCUCACAGACUCUGAAAGCACUUGACUUGCUGUGACCAGUUCAUUAGAAGGGACGCACUUCAGGAAGAGUCGAGGGGAAGAGAGGCACAGGGCGAGGGCGUGCGGGCCUCCCACGUCCCCCACCGCCAGGGCGCACAUACUUCCCGCCGCGUCCGUGUGUUCACCAGCCUGGAAACUCUCCAGAUGCUGUUGUUCAGAGGCAUUAAAGAGGCUCCAUUACAGGUGCCUGGGGGGCUCCGUGGGUUAAGCC